CUGUCUCCACCCGAGACUCAGUGAAAUUGAACUCGCUGUGAAGAUGCAGUGUACCCGCGGCAAGACGGAAAGACCCCGUGAACCUUUACUAUAGCUUGACACUGAACAUUGAGCCUUGAUGUGUAGGAUAGGUGGGAGGCUUUGAAGUGUGGACGCCAGUCUGCAUGGAGCCGGCCUUGAAAUACCACCCUUUAAUGUUUGAUGUUCUAACGUAGACCCGUGAUCCGGGUUGCGGACAGUGUCUGGUGGGUAGUUUGACUGGGGCGGUCUCCUCCUAAAGAGUAACGGAGGAGCACGAAGGUUGGCUAAUCCUGGUCGGACAUCAGGAGGUUAGUGCAAUGGCAUAAGCCAGCUUGACUGCGAGCGUGACGGCGCGAGCAGGUGCGAAAGCAGGUCAUAGUGAUCCGGUGGUUCUGAAUGGAAGGGCCAUCGCUCAACGGAUAAAAGGUACUCCGGGGAUAACAGGCUGAUACCGCCCAAGAGUUCAUAUCGACGGCGGUGUUUGGCACCUCGAUGUCGGCUCAUCACAUCCUGGGGCUGAAGUAGGUCCCAAGGGUAUGGCUGUUCGCCAUUUAAAGUGGUACGCGAGCUGGGUUUAGAACGUCGUGAGACAGUUCGGUCCCUAUCUGCCGUGGGCGCUGGAGAACUGAGGGGGGCUGCUCCUAGUACGAGAGGACCGGAGUGGACGCAUCACUGGUGUUCGGGUUGUCAUGCCAAUGGCACUGCCCGGUAGCUAAAUGCGGAAGAGAUAAGUGCUGAAAGCAUCUAAGCACGAAACUUGCCCCGAGAUGAGUUCUCCCUGACCCUUUAAGGGUCCUGAAGGAACGUUGAAGACGACGACGUUGAUAGGCCGGGUGUGUAAGCGCAGCGAUGCGUUGAGCUAACCGGUACUAAUGAACCGUGAGG
rnacentral:rRNA from 1 species